rnacentral:misc_RNA from 1 species
CGUAAGGCGCCGAACGAGUCAUUAAAAAUUAACAUCGUCCGAUCCCUAGUCGGCAUAGUUUAUGGUUAAGACUACGACGGUAUCUGAUCGUCUUCGAUCCCCUAACUUUCGUUCUUGAUUAAUGAAAACAUCCUUGGCAAAUGCUUUCGCAGAAGUUAGUCUUCAAUAAAUCCAAGAAUUUCACCUCUGACAAUUGAAUACUAAUGCCCCCAACUAUCCCUAUUAAUCAUUACGGUGAUCCUAGAAACCAACAAAAUAGAACCAUGCCGUCCUAUUUUAUUAUUCCAUGCUAAUCUAUUCAAGCACUAGCCUGCUUUAAGCACUCUAAUUUUUUCAAGGUAAUAGCUCUGCUUCCCCAG